rnacentral:rRNA from 1 species
UACGAGGGGGGCAAGCGUUGUUCGGAAUUAUUGGGCGUAAAGGGCGCGUAGGCGGUUUGCCACGUCUGAUGUGAAAUCUCUGGGCUCAACCCAGAGUCUGCAUUAGAAACUGUCGGGCUUGAGUAUGGGAGAGGUGAGUGGAAUUUCCGGUGUAGCGGUGAAAUGCGUAGAUAUCGGAAGGAACACCUGUGGCGAAAGCGGCUCACUGGACCAUAACUGACGCUGAGGCGCGAAAGCUAGGGGAGCAAACAGG